GUCCCUGUAGCUCAGCAGGAUAGAGCAACCGCCUCCUAAGCGGUAGGUCGGCAGUUCGAAUCUGCCCAGGGACGCCA
rnacentral:tRNA from 1 species